CUGAGCGACUGCGGAGACAUUG
rnacentral:rRNA from 1 species